rnacentral:tRNA from 4 species
CGGGUGUUAGCUCAGUUGGGAGAGCGUCUGCCUUACAAGCAGGUGGUCAGCGGUUCAAGUCCGUUACACCCGACCA